UACAGAGGUCCCAAGCGUUGUUCGGAUUCACUGGGCGUAAAGGGGGCGUAGGUGGCCAGGUAAGUUCGGUGUGAAAGCUCGGAGCUCAACUCCGAAAUGUCAUUGAAUACUAUCUGGCUGGAGGGUCGGAGGGGAGACUGGAAUUCUCGGUGUAGCAGUGAAAUGCGUAGAUAUCGAGAGGAACACCAGUGGCGAAGGCGAGUCUCUGGACGACUCCUGACACUGAGGCACGAAAGCUAGGGGAGCAAACAGG
rnacentral:rRNA from 1 species